UACGUAGGGUGCGAGCGUUGUCCGGAUUUAUUGGGCGUAAAGAGCUCGUAGGCGGUUCGGCAAGUCAGCUGUGAAAUCUCCACGCUCAACGUGGAGGGGUCAGCUGAUACUGCUGUGACUUGAGUCCGGUAGGGGAGUGUGGAAUUCCCGGUGUAGCGGUGAAAUGCGCAGAUAUCGGGAGGAACACCAGUAGCGAAGGCGGCACUCUGGGCCGGUACUGACGCUGAGGAGCGAAAGCGUGGGGAGCAAACAGG
rnacentral:rRNA from 1 species